rnacentral:rRNA from 1 species
CUAAAAAUCUAGCCCUCCCCCCACUCCCCACCCAUAAUCAAAACCCAAAACAAAAUAUUUUAUCUGUUUAGUAAAGAAGAUUAAAAAACUUUUAAGAGCUAUAUUCUAGUACCGCAAGGGAAAAAUGAAAUAAAAUGAAAAUCUUAAAGCAUAAAAUAGUAGAGACUUAACCUCGUACCUUUUGCAUCAUGGUUUAGCUAGUCUAACCAGGCAAAAUGAACCUUUUUAAGUCUGACUUCCCGAAACUAAGUGAGCUAUUUUAGGGCCGCUAAACGAGCCAACCCUUCUAUGUUGCAAAAUAGUGGGAAGACCCUAAAAUAGAGGUGAUAAGCCUAACGAACUUGGUUAUAGCUGGUUUCUCGAAAAAAGAAUUUUAGUCCAACCUAAAGCAAUGUAAAUUCAAAUAAAUUUCACCCACCCUUUAGAGCAAUUCAAAUAAGGUACAGCCUAUUUGAUACAGGAUUCAACCUUCACCCACGGGUAAUAUUUUAUUAUAUUUACAAGUAGGCCUAAUAGCGGCCACCUUUUAAAAAGCGUCAAAGCUUUAACACUUUAAAUCUAACUCCCCAUAUACCCCCCUCAAACCGUACGGAGAACUUCUAUAANCUUAUAGAAAUUUUUAUGCUAAAACUAGCANCAAGAGUUUAAUAUCCUCUCUUUAUUGUCCACAUAUGUCAGAAAAAUUCCCUAUGACAAUUAACAAACCUAAAUCACAGUAGUAACUUUUACCAGGAAAAUCCUACUAUUAUAAUUGUUAACCUAACACAAGCACAUUUCAAGAAAGACUGAGAGAAAGAGAAGGAACUCGGCAAACAUUAAUCCCGCCUGUUUACCAAAAACAUCGCCUCUUGAACCCAUAAGAGGUCCCGCCUGCCCAGUGACUCUGUUCAACGGCCACGGUAUUCUAACCGCGCAAAGGUAGCGUAAUCACUUGUUUUCUAAAUAAAGACUAGUAUGAAAGGCAUCACGAGGAUUAAACUGUCUCCUCUCCCCAUUCAGUGAACCUAUUCUCCCCGUGAAGAAACGGGGAUAUAAAAAUAAGACGAGAAGACCCUAUGGAGCUUUAAACAUCAUAACACCUGCUUUAAUUCCCUCACCAAGGUUACCCCCACAGCACAGUGAUUACAUGUUUUUGGUUGGGGUGACCGCGGAGUAAAAACAACCCUCCACGAUGAAAGCUUCCCUAAACAAUAAGCCACAACUUUAUGUAUUAACAAAUUAACAUUCAUUGACCCAAUUUAUUGAUUAACGAACCAAGUUACCCUAGGGAUAACAGCGCAAUCCACUUCGAGAGCCCAUAUCGACAAGUGGGCUUACGACCUCGAUGUUGGAUCGGGAUACCCAAGUGGUGCAGCCGCUACUAAAGGUUCGUUUGUUCAACGAUUAAAACCCCACGUGAUCUGAGUUCAGACCGGAGUAAUCCAGGUCAGUUUCUAUCUAUUAUAUAGCUUCUUUUAGUACGAAAGGACCAAAAAAGCAUGGUCAAUACCCAAAGCAAACCAUAAUUCUUAAUUUUAGACCUCAACUCAAAAAAUUAUUAACUUAUUCUCCCAAUCAAGAAAAGAU